UGGCUGGAAAGAUACUAAGAUGACAGCAGUAAUUCAUAAACACCCCACCCCUGAUAUAUUCUAGAAAGAUUUAUCAUAAGCUGCUGAAGUGGAGUUUCACCUAUGACAAUGAGUAAUAAGAUGACAUUGAAGAAAACCCUCCUAUUUGGGUUGUAG
rnacentral:lncRNA from 12 species